CUCGCUAUCUCCUUCGUCCUCGUCCUUUCUCCCUCCUCAUCUUGAGCAUGAUGGUCUCCUGGUACUUUGAUGGAUGAUGAUGAUGAUCAGUAGUGGGGAGCUAGAAGUGGGCGUCGAUCUAUCCUGCAGAUUAGGAAAAAGAAAGGAGCAAAGAUGGGAAGGAUAGAGCUUGUAUGAGACUGGGAGUGGAGUCGAACUUGAUUUGGGUGCAGCUCACCCUGCUACUUUGCCUAUCUGGGUGACAAAGAUCUGACAUGAAGUGGUGGAGGAGUUGCUGCUGCUUGAAUCGAUGGGAAAGAAACGGAGAUGCAGAGGCUGGUGGUCUUGAUCUGGUUUGGUCGGUGGAAAACAAGGAGCAGAGGUGAAUUCCUGGUGGAUGGUGACAGCAGUUCGGGAGCAGAGGAAGGCACUUGUUUUGUGAGUGGCUCUUCUGCUUAUGGUGGAUGGUUGAACAAGCUACUUUCUAGCAUGAAGAAGCUGAGCUUUGUCAGUUUGAGCUAGAGGACUGACCCAAGUCGAGUGUACUCUUAUCGUGAGAUUCUUCAGUUUGAGCUAGAGGGUUGUUCCAA